UACGGAGGGUGCAAGCAUUAAUCGGAUUUAUUGGGCGUAAGGGCGCGUAGGCGGGAGGGAAAGUUAGAUGUGAAAUCCCGAGGCUCAACCUCGGACCCGCAUCUAAUACUUCCUUUCUUGAGGAUGAGCGGAGAAAAUGGAAUUCCACGUGUAGCGGUGAAAUGCGUAGAUAUGUGGAGGAACACCGGUGACGAAGGCGAUUUUCUAGCUUAGACCUGACGCUAAAGCGCGAAAGCAAGGGGAUCAAGCAGG
rnacentral:rRNA from 1 species